rnacentral:rRNA from 1 species
UACGUAGGGUGCAAGCGUUAAUCGGAAUUACUGGGCGUAAAGCGUGCGCAGGCGGCUUUGCAAGACAGAUGUGAAAUCCCCGGGCUUAACCUGGGAACUGCAUUUGUGACUGCAUGGCUAGAGUGCGGCAGAGGGGGAUGGAAUUCCGCGUGUAGCAGUGAAAUGCGUAGAUAUGUGGAGGAAUACCGAUGGCGAAGGCAGCCUCCUGGGCCAACACUGACGCUCAUGCACGAAAGCGUGGGGAGCAAACAGG